GAGCGAACGCUGGCGGCAGGCUUAACACAUGCAAGUCGAGCGGGCGUAGCAAUACGUCAGCGGCAGACGGGUGAGUAACGCGUGGGAACGUACCUUUUGGUUCGGAACAACACAGGGAAACUUGUGCUAAUACCGGAUAAGCCCUUACGGGGAAAGAUUUAUCGCCGAAAGAUCGGCCCGCGUCUGAUUAGCUAGUUGGUGAGGUAACGGCUCACCCAAGGCGACGAUCAGUAGCUGGUCUGAGAGGAUGAUCAGCCACAUUGGGACUGAGACACGGCCCAAACUCCUACGGGAGGCAGCAGUGGGGAAUAUUGGACAAUGGGCGCAAGCCUGAUCCAGCCAUGCCNNNUGAGUGAUGAAGGCCCUAGGGUUGUAAAGCUCUUUUGUGCGGGAAGUAAUGACGGUACCGC
rnacentral:rRNA from 1 species